rnacentral:rRNA from 1 species
GAUUUCUGGCCUGGUGUGCCUUGCCCGCUGCCGUUAGGCAUGUGAGUGCGAGGUCGCACCUGCCAUCCUUCUGGAAAACAUUCCUACCAUUCACUUGGCCGGGAAUGCAAUCCAGAUCUUUUACUUUGAAAAAAUUAGAGUGUUUCAAGCAGGCUUUAUGCUAUGAAUACAUUAGCAUGGAAUAAUAAUUUAGGACUUCGGUUCUAUUUUGUUGGUUUCUAGGACUGAAGUAAUGAUUGAUAGGGAUAGUUGGGGGUGCUAGUAUUCAGCGGCCAGAGGUGAAAUUCUCGGAUUCGCUGAAGACUAACUUAUGCGAAAGCAUU